CAGGGCCCAUUUUCCGGGGGAGGGGACUGAGCCAACUCGGGGCCCUUCCUCCAGUGCCAGGCUG
rnacentral:miRNA from 1 species